AUUUCUCAGCCUCAUAGCUAAGAUAAAGUGUAUAGUAUAUGUAGAUAAUGUGCAGUAUAUGUUCUUAUCAAUUUAAUAUUUGAUAUAAAAAAUUAAAUUAAUUUUUUACAAGAGAGUGUUGGUUAUAAUAAUUUACUGUUGUGGUUUUCGAGCGUCGCCCUUAUGUUACACUACUGCAUGGGCUUGCCAACUCUAA